rnacentral:lncRNA from 10 species
UGCCAUCUCCUCAGAAGUUUUCCUGAGCUUGGCAGGGCUAGUUCUCUUGACAAUUCCACUUGCAGUUGUGGUUCACAGCACACAAGUAAAGCUUUGUUGUUUCUCUUGUGAUUAGUCCGUGAAGGGGCUCUGACUUGAUCACUUUUCUACAUUGCCACCAAUACCUAAAUCCAACCGCCCCAAUGCCAAUACUUAGCCAGUGUUAAGCACGUAGUGUUUAAACACACCUCAACACGCAAGUAUUGUAAGAUAAUGACCACACAACAGGGCAAAUACAAAGUUAAAGCAGGUCCGGGACCAAUACAAAGCAUCGGUAAAUUAUCUUAUAUCUAGACUUAUACAGAUAUAAAAUGACAUAUGUACAAGGAUAUUCAUUUCAGGAUUCUUUUUAACGGAAAAAAAUUGGGAACCACCCAGAUGUCCUCCAAUAAGAGACUGGCUUAAAAAAUAAUGUAUAUUCUUACAAUACAAUACUCUACUCAGCCGUACAAAAAAGAAUGAAGAAGUUCUAUUCUAAUAGGGAAAAAAAAAUCCAAGGAAUACUGUUAAGUGAAGAACCCUGUAUUCUUGAGUAUACAAAAGAGCAGCUGUUAAACUCCAGCACUCUAAGUGCUGUCAUCUGUAUAAAAACUGGGGGAAGGAUGCAGAAUAUACAUUCAGUGUGUGUGUGUGUGUGUGUGUGUGUAUUUGCUUGUAUAUAUGUUAGGAAAUGUCUCUGGAAGGAUACCUAAGUAUCUGGUAACAUUAGGUGCUGCUGGGGGAAGGAACUGAGGGCGUUGAAAACAAGGAUAGGAGGGAAGCUUUUUACUAUAUCUUUUUGUACCCCUUGAAUUUGAAGCCAUGUGACGGUAUUACUGCUCAAAAAAGUAUUUAAUUUAAUUACCAUUGAAAUUAGAUAAAAUAUGACAGAGUGAUAUUCUGAAAAAAAAAUUUUUUUAAUUAAAAAAUUCAAGGCCAGGCAUGGUGGCUCACACCUGUAAUCCCAGCACUCUGGGAGGCCGAGGCCAGCAGAUUGAGUACAGGAGUUUGAGACCAGCCUGGGCAACAGUGAAACCUCGUCUCUACUAAAAUACAAAAAAUUGGCCAGGUGCGGUGGCUCACUCCUGUAAUCCCAGCACUUUUGGGAGGCUGAGGCAGGUGGAUCUCGAGGUCAGGAGUUUAAGACCAGCCUGACCAACAUGGUGAAACCCCGUCUCUACUAAAAAUACAAAAAUUUAGCCGGGUGUGGUGGCGGGCUCCUGUAACCCCAACUACUCAGGAGGCUGAGGCAAAAGAAUCACUUGAACCCAGAGGCAGAGGUUGCAGUGGGCCGAGAUCACGCCACUGUACUCCAGCCUAGGCAACAGAGCAAGACUCUAUCUCAAAAAAAUAAUAAUAAUACAAAAAAUUAGCUGGGUGUGGUGGCAUGUGCCUGUAGUCCCAGCUACUUGGGAGGCUGAGUUGGGAGAAUCACCUGAGCCCAGGAGGUUCAGGCUGAAGUGAGCCAAAAUUGCACCACUGCACUCCAGAGUGCACACCAGAGUGAUACCCUGUGUCAAAAAAAAAAAUUAAAAUUAAAGAAUUAGAUAAAAUAAAGAACUUCCAUCAUACUUACUGGGCAAAGUUGGUUUCUAUUGCAAUUUUUACUAACGCUUGUAUGCCUAAGAAAAAUAUUAUUUAUUCAGCUCUUAAGUUUUGAAAUAAAUAAAGAGCAAUGAAUUAUCUUUUAGGGAUCAACAUCCAGAGAUGAGUAUAGCUAACCCUGGAGAACUCCUUUGACUCUGACCCAUUAUUGCUAUGGGAUUUAACUGCCCCUAAGACUAACCCUGGAGACAAUUGCUUUUCAAGUAUGUGGGACUUGUUUGCACUAAUAAUAGUCAUUCUUACCCUUAUUUUCCUUUAAGGAAAGUUUUUUUAAAGCUCUUAACUAAUAGUUUUACUUGCUGUAUUAUAUAGAGUCAAAAUG